rnacentral:rRNA from 1 species
UGGGGAAUAUUGCACAAUGGGCGAAAGCCUGAUGCAGCGACGCCGCGUGAGGGAUGACGGCCUUCGGGUUGUAAACCUCUUUCAGCAGGGACGAAGCGCAAGUGACGGUACCUCCAGAAGAAGCACCGGCUAACUACGUGCCAGCAGCCGCGGUAAUACGUAGGGUGCAAGCGUUGUCCGGAAUUACUGGGCGUAAAGAGUUCGUAGGCGGUUUGUCGCGUCGUUUGUGAAAACCAGCAGCUCAACUGCUGGCUUGCAGGCGAUACGGGAAGACUUGAGUACUGCAGGGGAGACUAGAAUUCCUGGUGUAGCGGUGAAAUGCGCAGAUAUCAGGAGGAACACCGGUGGCGAAGGCGGAUCUCUGGGCAGUAACUGACGCUGAGGAACGAAAGCGUGGGUAGCGAACAGG